UACGUAGGGGGCAAGCGUUGUCCGGAUUUAUUGGGCGUAAAGAGCGUGUAGGCGGCUAGAUAGGUCCGUUGUGAAAACUCGAGGCUCAACCUCGAGACGUCGAUGGAAACCAUCUGGCUAGAGUCCGGAAGAGGAGAGUGGGAUUCCUGGUGUAGCGGUGAAAUGCGCAGAUAUCAGGAAGAACACCCGUGGCGAAGGCGGCUCUCUGGUACGUGACUGACGCUGAGACGCGAAAGCGUGGGGAGCAAACAGG
rnacentral:rRNA from 1 species